UUAAAAGCUAAAUACAUUAAAAAAAAUAUUGUGUCAAAGAAAACAUUUUAUGUUUUAGGUAUUUUUAUUAGUUAAUAAUUAAAAUCAAACUUAAACAUAAUUGUAUUUGUUAAAAUACUAUUGGCGUACAGUUACUGGAAAUUGGUAAACACAGAAAAUAAUAUAUUUAUCAUUAAAAUUUAAUAUAUUUUAACAUGUGUAAAAACAUUUAAACACACAUUUUUAGAAAUAUAAACAAAUAUUAAACAAUCAAAUAUCUAGUCCAGAUGGAGUUAAAAAAAAACAGCUAGUGUCCAAUUAUAUUUAAACUCAUUUAUUCUUCAUGUAUUUGCAUUUUUAAUGCAUGUUAAAUUCUGUGACUGGUCAUUUUGCACGACUUAAAAAUUAUUAUUUAUUUUAAAUAAAUAUUUUGCAGUUUUCACAUGUAUUAAAGAAAAUAUUAAAUGAUGACAAAAAAUAAAGAAAAUAUUAAAUUUUAAUUAUAACUGCAUCAUUUUAUAAUUUAUUUUAUAUAUAUUUGAACAAAAGGAAUUUAUUAAAUACAAUUAUUUUCUACAAACUUAAAAAUCCUCAUUAUUGCCUAAUAGAAAAUGCACUGAAAACAUAAAAUAUAAAUUUUAACAAAUAUUUUUUUCUUAAAUAUAUAUCUUAAAGAAAAACUGAGGGAAUGUUAGAUAUAUGUGAUGUCUUGUAUUCAACACUAUGUAUGUGACCGUUGUUUUUUUUUUUGAACUAAGAACUUCAAAUCUAUAAUAGUUUCUCUUUUUAUAUGGCAUGUCAAUUACUUACAAUGAAUUUUUUGCAUUUCGUAUAAUUUGAGUGUACUAUAGAGGUUUUUAAAAAAAUGUUGAGUAGAAAUUGAUUGAAAUAGGAAAGUAUACUACUACAAUCUAAAUUCAGAAAAAAAAAAGAAUUAGAGAGCAGAAAUAAAAUGAGAAAAAAGUUGGAGGCAGUAAAUGAAGAACGCUAAGAUUGGGCAGAUCAAUAACCCAACUACUCCUCUGACUAACUUUUAUAGACAACCCUCCUUUCUCUUUUUGAUUCCCCUUCCAUUUUUCAUAUACCAUCUUGCUACAAAUAUUAUUAUUAUAUUGUCAUCUUAUGGUUUGAUAGUCUCUUAAUAUGUAUCCAUUUACGGUCACUGAUUAUCAUCAUCUUCCUUGUUUUCCCCCUCUAACUUGGUCAAAAGUUGCAAACGCUAAAUUCUGAAAAAAGAAAAAGAAAAAUCUCACAUAUACAUAUUUAAAGAAAAUGGGGAGGGGUUUGGAGUCUAUCGACUACGUUUUUGCUUUAACCGGUAAAAUAACAUGGUAAAAUGGGAAAUCCAUUGACAUGUCUCAAAAAGUAAAUCCAAACGUUUACGUUGAAAUCUUGAAACUUGAAAUAAUUGUUUUACACUGUUGACCAAGUAAGAAAAAGAAAUAUAUAUAUAUACACACACACAUAAAUAGCUGUAGGACACAUCCAGCCAGAACCCAUGUUUAUUUUGUCUUGUAUGUUCUCUCUCCGCUACUUCCCCUCAUGAGUCCUUCUCUUCAUAAAAACCUCUUAUUUAUUUAUCCUUCUUAUCAUUCUCGUCAUCAUCAUCUCAACAUUCAUCUCUUUCUCUCUCUCUUCCUUGAUCCCAGCCGGAUCUGAUGGGUGUUGGGAGGGGACGAACAAAGACAGAAAUAGAAAAUUUCUUGUAAAACCCUAAUAGAAAAAGUCUGGUUAUAAAGACGAGAAGGAUUUAUAGAGGGAUUUAUCUUUUGAGGGGACUGUUGUCUGGCUCGAGGACUCUUAUUCUAACUCAAUCACGUUUUAUAAAAUCUACUUGAUCUGAUGAUUGAUUAGGGUUUUAGUGUCUUCGGACCAGGCUUCAUUCCCCCCAAUUAUUACUUCCUCUCAAUCCUAAUUAACCAAGAAGUCUCUUCCUUUUUUUUCCUUUCUUUGUCAUUUUCGGAGUUAUGGUUCCGUUCCGAAUCUAUUUCAAUGUGAAAAUUUUGAUCUUAAAUUUUUUGUAUAAUUAAUUUAUGUGGUAGUUUCUGGCACUGCAUCUGGGUUUCAAUUGUGUUUGUUUGUUUCUUCUUUAAUAGAUUGGUGUAAUGAUGAAGGAAACUGACUCAUGUGAGAAACAGAAAAGUCUAUCAUCAUUACUAACUUUUUCUCGUUUAUUUGUUCUAGCUAUGAUUUUGUAAUGAUAUGUUUUUUGUUUGUUUAUUGUAUGAUGAUGUCAGUACGAAUUAUAGCUAGCAUUUAAAGAGUAGAUCUAUUGAUGGUCAUAAUCAAUGAUGAGGAUUCGGUUUCAGUUUCAGAUCCAUCUGUUUACAAGAAACUAAACCAGAUAUACUAGAUCUGAAGUACUUCAAGCAUAUGGAGGAUCAAGGAACUCGAUCGGGUUCUUCUCAUUUUGAAUAUUUCUAAUGCCGCAAUAUUGCGAAUGUCAUUUUUAACAGCUGUUUUAAAUGUUAUUCUUUUCUUUCUAUAAGUUGAACUUGCUAGUCUUUUUCAGUUGUUACUAGCUUCGCCUAAUCGUUAUUACAUCACCUAUUAUUACACUAAACUUGUAGUAUUAGUUAACUUUUGUUGACUUUAAUAGACUUAAAAGAGAGUAGAUUUAUA